AUUGAACGCUGGCGGCAGGCCUAACACAUGCAAGUCGAACGGUAACAGGAAGACGCUUGCUUCUUUGCUGACGAGUGGCGGACGGGUGAGUAAUGUCUGGGAAACUGCCUGAUGGAGGGGGAUAACUACUGGAAACGGUAGCUAAUACCGCAUAACGUCGCAAGACCAAAGAGGGGGACCUUCGGGCCUCUUGCCAUCGGAUGUGCCCAGAUGGGAUUAGCUAGUAGGUGGGGUAACGGCUCACCUAGGCGACAAUCCCUAGCUGGUCUGAGAGGAUGACCAGCCACACUGGAACUGAGACACGGUCCAGACUCCUACGGGAGGCAGCAGUGGGGAAUAUUGCACAAUGGGCGCAAGCCUGAUGCAGCCAUGCCGCGUGUAUGAAGAAGGCCUUCGGGUUGUAAAGUACUUUCAGCGGGGAGGAAGGGAGUAAAGUUAAUACCUUUGCUCAUUGACGUUACCCGCAGAAGAAGCACCGGCUAACUCCGUG
rnacentral:rRNA from 1 species